GCUGGUGUAGCUCAGUGGUAGAGCAACUGAUUUGUAAUCAGUCGGUCGCAGGUUCAAAUCCCGUCACCAGCU
rnacentral:tRNA from 19 species